CCUACGGGAGGCAGCAGUGGGGAAUAUUGCACAAUGGGGGAAACCCUGAUGCAGCGACGCCGCGUGAGUGAAGAAGUAUCUCGGUACGUAAAGCUCUAUCAGCAGGAAAGAAAAUGACGGUACCUGACUAAGAAGCCGCGGCUAACUACGUGCCAGCAGCCGAGGUAAUACGUAGGGGGCAAGCGUUAUCCGGAUUUACUGGGUGUAAAGGGAGCGUAGACGGCGCUGCAAGUCCGGAGUGAAAGCCCAUGGCUUAACCAUGGUACUGCUCUGAAAACUGUAGAGCUUGAGUGCGGGAGGGGCAUGCGGAAUUCCUAGUGUAGCGGUGAAAUGCGUAGAUAUUAGGAGGAACACCGGCGGCGAAGGCGGCCUGCUGGACCGUAACUGACGUUGAGGCUCGAAAGCGUGGGGAGCAAACAGGAUUAGAUACCCGGGUAGUC
rnacentral:rRNA from 1 species